rnacentral:rRNA from 1 species
CCUACGGGAUGCAGCAGUGAGGAAUAUUGGUCAAUGGACGAGCGUCUGAACCAGCCAAGUAGCGUGAAGGAUGACUGCCCUAUGGGUUGUAAACUUCUUUUAUAUGGGAAUAAAAUGUUCCACGUGUGGGAUUUUGUAUGUACCAUAUGAAUAAGGAUCGGCUAACUCCGUGCCAGCAGCCGCGGUAAUACGGAGGAUCCGAGCGUUAUCCGGAUUUAUUGGGUUUAAAGGGAGCGUAGGUGGAUUGUUAAGUCAGUUGUGAAAGUUUGCGGCUCAACCGUAAAAUUGCAGUUGAAACUGGCAGUCUUGAGUACAGUAGAGGUGGGCGGAAUUCGUGGUGUAGCGGUGAAAUGCUUAGAUAUCACGAAGAACUCCGAUUGCGAAGGCAGUUCACUGGACUGCAACUGACACUGAGGCUCGAAAGUGUGGGUAUCAAACAGGAUUAGAUACCCCGGUAGUC